AGCGAACGCUGGCGGCAGGCCUAACACAUGCAAGUCGAACGAAGUCUUCGGACUUAGUGGCGGACGGGCGAGUAACACGUGGGAACGUACCUUUUGGUUCGGAACAACUCAGGGAAACUUGAGCUAAUACCGGAUGAGCCCUUAGGGGGAAAGAUUUAUCGCCGAAAGAGCGGCCCGCGUUAGAUUAGCUAGUUGGUGAGGUAAAGGCUCACCAAGGCUACGAUCUAUAGCUGGUCUGAGAGGAUGAUCAGCCACACUGGGACUGAGACACGGCCCAGACUCCUACGGGAGGCAGCAGUGGGGAAUCUUGCGCAAUGGGCGAAAGCCCGACGCAGCCAUGCCGCGUGAAUGAUGAAGGUCUUAGGAUUGUAAAAUUCUUUUACCAGGGACGAUAAUGACGGUACCUGGAGAAAAAGCCCCGGCUAACUUCGUGCCAGCCGCCGCCGUAACAC
rnacentral:rRNA from 1 species